rnacentral:rRNA from 1 species
UACAGAGGUCUCAAGCGUUGUUCGGAUUCAUUGGGCGUAAAGGGUGCGUAGGUGGCGGGGUAAGUCAGGUGUGAAAUCUCGGGGCUCAACCCCCGAAACUGCACUUGAUACUGCCUUGCUCGAGUACUGGAGAGGAGAUUGGAAUUUACGGUGUAGCAGUGAAAAUGCGUAGAUAUCGUAAGGAAGACCAGUGGCGAAAGGCGAAUCUCUGGACAGUUACUGACAUGAGGCACGAAGGCCAGGGGAGCAAAACGGGG